GCGCAUACGGUGGAUGCCUAGGCAGCCAGAGGCGAUGAAAGACGUGGUAGCCUGCGAUAAGGCUCGGCGAGGUGGCAAACGACCUGUGACCCGGGCAUUUCUGAAUGGGGAAACCCACCCAGCACAAGCUGGGUAUCCCACACUGAAUACAUAGGUGUUGGGAGGCGAACCAGGGGAACUGAAACAUCUAAGUACCCUGAGGAAAAGAAAUCAACCGAGAUUCCCCCAGUAGCGGCGAGCGAACGGGGACCAGCCCUUAAGCGUGUGACUGAUUAGACGAACGAGCUGGGAAGCUCGGCCAUAGUGGGUGAUAGCCCCGUAGUCGAAAAUCUGAUCACGUGAAAUCGAGUAGGUCGGGGCACGAGAAACCUUGACUGAAUAUGGGGGGACCAUCCUCCAAGGCUAAAUACUCCUGGCUGACCGAUAGUGAACCAGUACCGUGAGGGAAAGGCGAAAAGAACCCCGGAGAGGGGAGUGAAAUAGAUCCUGAAACCGUAUGCGUACAAGCAGUGGGAGCAGACUUGUUCUGUGACCGCGUACCUUUUGUAUAAUGGGUCAGCGACUUAUAUUCAGUGGCGAGCUUAACCGAAUAGGGGAGGCGUAGCGAAAGCGAGUCUUAACUGGGCGACCAGUCGCUGGAUAUAGACCCGAAACCGGGCGAUCUAUCCAUGAGCAGGUUGAAGGUUGAGUAACAUCAACUGGAGGACCGAACCAGGAUCUGUUGAAAAAGAUUUGGAUGACUUGUGGAUCGGAGUGAAAGGCUAAUCAAGCCCGGAGAUAGCUGGUUCUCCUCGAAAGCUAUUUAGGUAGCGCCUCACGUAUCACCGCCGGGGGUAGAGCACUGUUUCGGCUAGGGGGUCAUCCCGACUUACCAACCCGAGGCAAACUCCGAAUACCGGUGAGUGCAAGCGUGGGAGACACACGGCGGGUGCUAACGUCCGUCGUGAAAAGGGAAACAACCCAGACCGUCAGCUAAGGUCCCGAAAUCCUGGUUAAGUGGGAAACGAUGUGGGAAGGCUCAGACAGCUAGGAGGUUGGCUUAGAAGCAGCCAUCCUUUAAAGAAAGCGUAAUAGCUCACUAGUCGAGUCGGCCGGCACGCAUGUCGGUGACCACCUCGCUGCCACCGGUAUAGCGGCGCACCUCCACCACGUCGCCGUAGAGCUCGGUGACAUAGUUGUCCUGGAGCGUGGCUCGCUGCACGCCCACGACCAGCCCCUCGAGACUGGCGCGGUCGUCGAUGUCGAUCUCCCGAUCCAGUGCAGUUACCCAGACGCUGG
rnacentral:ncRNA from 1 species